CCAUUUUCGCUUUCGCGGCUCACCCACCGCUUCUGCGUUCACCACUUUAGUGGCUCCCCUUCAGCAGAAGCGGAAAUACUAGAUGCCAUUUACUGUUUUCAUGCAAGAACUCCCAAAACCUCCGAUCAACCAUACGGAAAUACCCCGAGGCCACCGAGACCCCCAACCAAAACCCCCAAACUAUUACAAAACAUCAUACAACAUGUUCCAAUUACAAAAACACGACGAGCAACACAAAACCAUCAAUUCAUGAAGGAUUCAAGCCUAAGUUAAACUAAAACUUCCGAAACUCGCAUUCGAUCAAAAACCCAACCAAAUGACGUUCGAUUGACCUGAAAAUUUGGAGACAUAUCCAAUGUCACCUAAAAAAACUACAGCAACACUCGGAAUUCCAUUCUGACCCUCGGAUCAAAAUCUCACAUAUCAACCGGAUUUCGCCAAAAUUCAAACUUAGUCAAUUCAAGCCUAAUUGUACACCGGACCUCCAAAUUCAGUUCCAUUUUCACUCCCAAGUCAUAAAUCAUCACCCGAAGCUAGCCGAACCAUCAAAAAUCCAUUCCGAACCCAAUAACUCAUAAGUCAAUAUCCGGUUGACUUUUCCAAACUAGCCUUCUCUUAAAAAGACUAAUUGUCUCAAUUCCAACCAAAAUCUCACCGAAUCACUUCAAUGUCCACAAACACAUAUGAAGAAACAUAAAAAGCAUAAAACGGGAAAAAAUGGGGCAGUAACACAGGUGACGACGGGCCGGGUCAUCACACUCUGCAAGCUGUGGGACGUCUUGAAUAAUGCUGCUCACCUAAGUCUCCGUACCAUGCUGCUAAGCCAC
rnacentral:lncRNA from 1 species